rnacentral:sRNA from 1 species
UGGAUUGAGAGCUCUGGAAACUGAGUUUAUCCACUGAACAGGUACAGUACAGACAGGGUAGGGCAGGCUACCCCAGCACUGCCCCUACUAAUGUGCUUCCGUCUUUUCAUAGAGGGAUUGCUCAUAGGAGAGAUUGGGUAAUUCAGUCCAGGAGUCUAACAUUCCAUACUUGGUCAUU